GACGAACCGUGCGAACGUUGUUCGGAAUCACUGGGCUUAAAGGGCGCGUAGGCGGGUGACCAAGUCAGGGGUGAAAUCUUUCGGCCCAACCGGAAAAGUGCCUCUGAUACUGGUCGUCUUGAGGGAGGUAGGGGUCGGGGGAACUGGUGGUGGAGCGGUGAAAUGCGUAGAUAUCACUAGGAACGCCGGUGGCGAAAGCGCUCGACUGGACCUCUUCUGACGCUGAGGCGCGAAAGCCAGGGGAGCAAACGGG
rnacentral:rRNA from 1 species